rnacentral:lncRNA from 1 species
UCAGUGAUGAGCUACCGACGUUUGUGAGCAGGAUGUUAGCCUCCUCAACAACAAAUACUACACAUGUAUAUACAUCGCUGGAGUCCUCGUCAAGUAUUGCCUUGGGCACCUAACCUGUAGCAUCUAUGUCAACAUCAACAAAUUGGAAUAAGCCGUUAGCAUGGAAGGUCACAACAUCAACCAUGUGCUCAGCAUUCACUAUCAUCUUCUCGCCAUCCAAAUACUCUCCAUCUAAGGCUAGUUGUUGCAAUAAGCCACUGUGCAUGCUAAGAUCAAACAAUAUCAACUCAUCCCAAACAACAGUUCAUCGAGUACCUCAUAUAAUUAUCCCAUACCACAACUUUAUGAGACAUUUCCCUAAACAUUUUUCCUGAAUCAAAUGACUCCAAGUUCCAAGUAUGGUGAUGAACAACCAACUUCAAUGAGCAAAUUGUUGGUUACCUGCACAACAACCAAAUUGAUUUCCUCACACCCUUCUAGCUUUGAUGCAGCACGUGCAAGUGACAGCUCCUACAACCAUGGGGCAUCUUCGCCUUCUCUAUCAUUACCAUUGGACAACUCAUUCACAUGAGGCUUUCCAUUUGGUGCAUGGUCUGCACUCACUUAUUGUGGCAUUACAACAAACACUUGAGGGGCAUUAGGUUCAACAACAUCCUGCUGGAGCAAGUAACUGCCGUCACCACUCACCAUGAUCUUCUCACCAUGAACAGAUCCUAAAACAAGCCAUGCAGGUCAAGGUCAUGCCUCGAUUGCUCAUCCCACACUACAACUAUAGGACGCACUUCAUCAAACACCUUGAGUUCAUCACAUUCUGGUGCACUAAAACCACCCUGCUUGCACUUCUGGUCAUCCAUCUCUUGAACUAGUUGUCCCAGUAAGCCACGUGAACUGAAGCCAUCCUACA